UGCAACAAUUUCAAGUAAAACGUGUGAGC
rnacentral:sRNA from 1 species